rnacentral:rRNA from 1 species
GUGGGGAAUAUUGGACAAUGGGCGAAAGCCUGAUCCAGCCAUGCCGCGUGUGUGAAGAAGGUCUUCGGAUUGUAAAGCACUUUAAGUUGGGAGGAAGGGCAGUAAGUUAAUACCUUGCUGUUUUGACGUUACCGACAGAAUAAGCACCGGCUAACUUCGUGCCAGCAGCCGCGGUAAUACGAAGGGUGCAAGCGUUAAUCGGAAUUACUGGGCGUAAAGCGCGCGUAGGUGGUUUUGUAAGUUGGAGGUGAAAUCCCCGGGCUCAACCUGGGAACUGGCUCCAAAACUGCAUAACUAGAGUACGGUAGAGGGUAGUGGAAUUUCCUGUGUAGCGGUGAAAUGCGUAGAUAUAGGAAGGAACACCAGUGGCGAAGGCGACUACCUGGACUGAUACUGACACUGAGGUGCGAAAGCGUGGGGAGCAAACAGGAUUAGAUACCCGGGUAGUCC